rnacentral:snRNA from 1 species
CCCCUGUUUUUGGUCCCA